GACGAACGCUGGCGGCGUGCUUAACACAUGCAAGUCGAACGGUAAGGCCCUUCGGGGUACACGAGUGGCGAACGGGUGAGUAACACGUGGGUGAUCUGCCCUGCACUUCGGGAUAAGCCUGGGAAACUGGGUCUAAUACCGGAUAGGACCACUGCCUGCAUGGGUGGUGGUGGAAAGCUUUUGCGGUGUGGGAUGGGCCCGCGGCCUAUCAGCUUGUUGGUGGGGUGAUGGCCUACCAAGGCGGCGACGGGUAGCCGGCCUGAGAGGGUGACCGGCCACACUGGGACUGAGAUACGGCCCAGACUCCUACGGGAGGCAGCAGUGGGGAAUAUUGCACAAUGGGCGCAAGCCUGAUGCAGCGACGCCGCGUGAGGGAUGACGGCCUUCGGGUUGUAAACCUCUUUCAGCACCGACAAAGCGCAAGUGACGGUAGGUGCAGAAGAAGGACCGGCCAACUACGUGCCAGCCGCCGCAGUAA
rnacentral:rRNA from 1 species